rnacentral:rRNA from 1 species
AGGAAUCUGCCUGGUAGUGGGGGACAACGUUUCGAAAGGAACGCUAAUACCGCAUACGUCCUACGGGAGAAAGCAGGGGACCUUCGGGCCUUGCGCUAUCAGAUGAGCCUAGGUCGGAUUAGCUAGUUGGUGAGGUAAUGGCUCACCAAGGCGACGAUCCGUAACUGGUCUGAGAGGAUGAUCAGUCACACUGGAACUGAGACACGGUCCAGACUCCUACGGGAGGCAGCAGUGGGGAAUAUUGGACAAUGGGCGAAAGCCUGAUCCAGCCAUGCCGCGUGUGUGAAGAAGGUCUUCGGAUUGUAAAGCACUUUAAGUUGGGAGGAAGGGCAGUCAGCGAAUACCUUGCUGUCUUGACGUUACCGACAGAAUAAGCACCGGCUAACUCUGUGCCAGCAGCCGCGGUAAUACAGAGGGUGCAAGCGUUAAUCGGAAUUACUGGGCGUAAAGCGCGCGUAGGUGGUUUGUUAAGUUGGAUGUGAAAUCCCCGGGCUCAACCUGGGAACUGCAUCCAAAACUGGCAAGCUAGAGUAGGGCAGAGGGUGGUGGAAUUUCCUGU